AUAACUAAGGGCAAUUUUGGAAUAGACUAUACUUUAUUGUCUAGAUUACUAAAUUUUAUAGACAUAACCAAACAUACUAACGCUAUAAACAAUGCAAUCCAGUAUUACAUUUGUAAUAUACCGAAAAUUCGGAAACUAAAUAUCGAACUUUAGUCAAAUUGACCAAAGUGCGAAGAUAGUACACUUCGAAAAGUCCGAAGAUGUUAAAAUGAUCAAAAGUGCGUUGUGGGAGGUUUUCGAGAGCUAAAAAAUCAAAAAUCUGCAUUCUGCAAGUUUUGUGCUCUCGAGAACCGGUCCCUGGUGGGAGAGACCGGUCCCCGAAUGCGUGAAAAUUGAGAAAGCUGACAAAUCUGAUAAGUCCCAGAAAACCAGCUCUCGGGAACCGGUCCCUGGUGGGAGAGACCGGUCCCCGAAUGCGUGAAAAUUGAGAAAGCUGACAAAUCUGAUAAGUCCCAGAAAACCAGCUCUCGGGAACCGGUCCCUCUGGGAGAGACCGGUUGUGUCACACUGUCACGCCCCGAGACCGCUACCAAUUUGGUCCGGCCCCGGGCGCGUCGAACAGACGGCGAACGGACAGGACCUCCCCUGUCCGUCCAAGGCUAACCAGCAGAUCAUGUAUAAGAAUUUACUUAGGAAUCAAUUCAUAAAUACAUGAUCAAGAAGCACCACCCGUGCAACAAGACGAGAGCAAGAUACAAGUAUGGAAGUAUACCAGUACAAAAAGAGAGAAGAUGCUAUCUAUUGCAUUCAUUUAACUUAAUACAUUUGAUUACAUCUUUUACUUUUUCCAAAAUAUGAAUACAAUCGCUCAAACCUCACCCUAUACAACAUCUACUCUCAAAUACAAAAAGGGUGACAGCUAAUGCAAAAAGGGAGGUAGCUAAUGCGACUAGAGCGCCGGGCCCUUACCACGAUCCUCACGCUCGCUGGGGACGCCCGAACUAGAACCUGUAAAAAGUGGGGUGAGAACUAACUUUCUUAGUUCCCAGUGGGUUUGGCCGCCGACUCCGCCGAUCUCCCCACUAGGUCCAAGCGGGCACAAGUAGAUAAUCGAUAGAUAGAUAGAUAAGUAAAGCUGUAAAGACAUGAAAGUGAAGCUACACUACUAUGCCCAAUCAUAGAUACAUGAAUGCAUGUUCAAUAGAACGGUAAGCAACUAACCUGUCGUCAUGUCAACGGUAAAGCUAUGUACUUGUUCGUCAAUGUCAUUUACUUGCUUCUUAAUCUCAUGGCUUCCCUGACGGAGCCUACUGCUCACUAGCCAUCUCGAAGGUAGGGAGGGUCAACUCGCACUACGAACCGAGACCGUCUGCCGGGGCCUAAAUAGGCAACCCUUGGGACCCAAAAUAGGCGAUCCCACGUGACCAACAUCCGGAGCGCACUACUUGUGUGGGGCUUCCAUCACAAGAUUUAGAAACAGGCCGUGAGCAUGAUCCAAUCCUCGUCUCGAGAAUACCCUAUCCUCUAGGGUUACAAUCAUCAUAUAGUCCAUAGGUUCCAUAUACACUACGACUCACAUAUGUCACUCGUUCUUUCGCUUAUUCACUAUCAACUAGAUGCCACUCGUUCUUUACAAGUUUCCAAUGCAAUAGCCAAUACAUUACUAAACUCUCAUUCACACGUAUCAUCUCAUUAUAGGGUUCCACAUCACAUAUAUAAACCUCAAGCAUGCUGAAUAUAAGUGCCAAGCCCAAAUACAUUAUUCUACCAAAGAACAUGCAAGGUAUAGGACCAAAUCACCAUUUAUCCCCCUAUAAUGCAGAUGUCAAUAUAUCAAUAUGCAAUUUGAUCAAUAUAGAGCUUAGACAUAAAAGGGAGCCCGAUUGCUUCGGGAUGGACACCACCCACCUCUUGGCGAUGCCGCGAUGGUAGAAACUCGGCAUUGGGGUUCUUGCGCGUCGCCCUAACUCCUCGGGGCGAAGCGAGCCCUCUAGUACCCGAUUCGGCGAUUUCUCCGCACCCGCUCGUCGGAUCGAGAAACCGACUUCGCCGAUGCGUUCCGGGACCUAGCAAUUAGGUUUGCGACCUAAUAGAUUAGAUCAACACCCUAGAUUUCCAAAAUCCCCAAAUCCGUGCCCUAGAAUAGCAACGGGGGAGAAAUCCGGGGUGCAAGCUUCGAUUGCGAGCUCGAACCUUCUCCCUAGUUCCAUNCGGAGCGUCGCCGCUCUUAACCUUCCUCGCCGCCGCACGCGGCCGCCUCGUCCUCGCGGGGCUCCGCAGCGGGCCCGACCGCACUCCGCUGCCGCCGCCACCGGGGGCCCGCUCAUCAUCCUCGACGCCGCUGCCGCCGCCACCUUCGCCGCCCCCACCUACCCGAUCUCGAGCCCCACCUAUGCCGAGAAGGUGGGCUGCCGAGGCGGUGCUACACGAUGCCGCAGGGAGGAGAAAGAGGAGAAAGAAUGAGGAAGAAGAGUAAGAAAUAAAAAUAGUGUAAAUUGAAGGAAGAAGAAGAAAAAAAAUAGUGUAAAUUUCACCUAAAUUGUCACGCCCCGAAAGCGAUACCAAUUUGGUUCGGCCCGGGCGCGUCGAACAGACGCCGAACGGACAGGACCUCCCCUGUCCGUCCAAGGCUAACCAACAGAUCGUGCAUAAGAAUUUACCCAGGAAUCAAUUCAUAAAUACACGAUCAAUAAGCACCACUAGUGCUAUAAACAAGAGCAAGAUACAAGUAUAGAAACAUAUACAAGUACAUAAGAGAGAAGAGACUAUCUAUUACAUUCAUUUGAUUUACUACAUUUAGAUACAUCUUUUACAUUCUUCCAAAAUAUAAAUACAAGCACUCAACCCUCACCCUAUACAACAUCUACUCUCAAAUACAAAAGGGGUGACGGCUAAUGCAAGAAAAGGAGGUAGCUAAUGCGACUAGAACGCCGGGCCCUUACCGCGAUCCUCACGCUCACCGGGGACGCCCGAACUGGAACCUGUGGUAAAAUGGGGGUGAGAACUAACUUCCUUAGUUCCCAGUGGGUUCGGCCGCCGACUCCGCCGAUCUCCCCACUAGGUCCAAGCGGGCAUAAGUAGACAAUCGAUAGAUAGGUAGAUAGAUAAGGAAAGCUGUAAAUGGCGGAAAUGAAGCUACGCUACCAUGCCCAAUCAUAAGUAUAUGAAUGCAUGUCCAAUGAAAUAGGUAAGCAACUAAUCUGUUAUCAUGUCCAAGGGUGAAGCUAUUCACUCGUUCAUUAACCUCAUUUACUUGUUCAUUAAUCUCAUGGCUUACCCGAAGGCUCGCCUACAGCUCACUAGCCAUCUCGACACGUAGGGAGAAUCAACUCACACUACGGACCCGAGACCGUCUGGCGGGGCCAUAUAGGCAAUCCCUGGCGUGACCAACAUCCGGAGCGCACUACUUGUGUGGGGCUUCCAUCACAAGAUUUAACAGACCGUGAGCAUGAUCCAAUCCUCUAAGCUCGAGGAUACCCUGUCCUCUAGAGUCACAAUCAUCAUAUAGUCCAUAGGUGUCGCAUACACUAUUAACUAGAUUGUCCGUUUGUCCGCUAUCGACUAGAUGCCACUCGUUCAUAGUUUACUAUUAACUAGAUGCCACUCGUUCAUAGUUCAUCAUUUUCUCUACAUCAUAGGAUUCACAAUCUCGACCCAAUCCUUAUCAAUCCAAUAUAUCAAUUAUCCGAUGUACGCUACGAUACCAUGAAGGAAAAACAUAAGGAAAGGCAAUGCAUACUAAUCCUAUAAUGCAAUAAUACAAGAUGCAAGAUCAAAUAUACUAAGACAUAGGAGGGAGCCCGAUUGCUUCGGGAUGGACACCACCCACCUCUUGGCGAUGCCGUGAUAGUAGAAAACUCGACGUUGGGGUUCUUGUACGCCGCUUCAACUCCUCGGGGCGAAGCGAGCCCUCGAGUACCCGAUUCGGCGAUUUCUCCGCACCCGCUCGUCGGAUCGAGAAACCGACUUCGCCGACGCGUUCCGGGACCUAGCAAUUAGGUUUGCGACCUAUUAGAUUAGAUCAAAACCCUAGAUUUACCAAAAACCCAAUUCCGUGCCCUAGGAUGGCAACGGGGAAGAAAUCCGUGGUGCGAGCUUCAAUUGCGAGCUCGAACCUUCUCCCUAGUUCCAUUAGGUCCCAUUCAAACCAUAAAAACCCCAAAACCCUAGAAACACCAUUAAAGGGUUUAGAGCUUACCCCUACACAAGGUUCCUUCAAGCUUGAGGGAGAGGGAGAGAAGAAGAUAUCUUCUUCUUCUUCUUCUUCUUAGUCUUCUCUUUCUCUUUCUUCUUCUUUCUCUUCUUCUUCUCCUUCCUCUUCUUCUUCUCCUUCUUCUCUUUCUUUUCUUUUCUUUCCUAGAGAGAGGAGAAUAGUGAGAGAGAGAGAGAGGAAGAGAGCAACUGAGGGAGAGAGAGGGGUCCCCAAGCCCUAUUAAAGGCCAUUUUGCAACUAGCCCCCUCAACUUUUCAUCUUUAGAAUCAGCCCUCAUUGGGCAUUUUCGCAGUGAGGGACCGGUCUCCCCGACUUGGGACCGGUCCCCGAAGGCUGCCAUUUCGAGCAGAGGGGUUUUCGCGUUCGGGAACCGGUCCUUGCCUGAGAGACCGAUCCCCGGGAGACCGGUCCUAGUCCGAGAGAUCGGUUCCCGAAAGCUGAGUUUUCGGGACUUAGCCAAAUUUCGGCUAUUUUCGCUGGGCCAACGUUCGGGAACCGGUCCCUGCCUGCCAGGGACCGGUCUCAUCAUAGACCUCCGCAGCCCAGCCUGAUGGGACCGGUCCCUCCCUGCCAGGGACCGGUCCCCGAGAGCAUUUCUGCUCCAGUGCAAGUUUUGCAUUGGUGCUCUCGCGGACCUUUCCUUAAUGCACUUUAUGCACUAUAAUCACCUUCGCACUUUCCGAAGCUUACGCACUCGACAACUAGUCGAUUCUAAUCGAAGUCUAAUCCUCGAGUUUCGAGAAUUCACUUCCUUACAUCCUUCCCACCUUAAAAGAGUUUCGUCCUCGAAACGAACUCAAUACUACAAAAACUUAAUUAGAAUUUCAAAUUCUAAGCUCAUACCUCGAUUUAGCCUUCGAAUAGGCGAUGAUGAUUCGCCUUCAUCUCCUCCUCAAGCUCCCAGGUGGCUUCGCGAUCAUCAUGAUUGCUCCACCGGACUCGGACAUAAGGAAUUUCUCGAUUCCUUAGCUUGUGCACUUCACGAGCGGUAAUCGCCACCGGAAAUUCCUCGUAGCUCAAGUCCUCCUGAAGUUCCGGCGGCUCGUACAACAUUGCGUGCUCGGGAUCAGGUAUGUACUUGCGCAAAUUGGAGACGUGGAAUACGUUGUGCACAUCUGCAAGCUUUGGCGGCAACGCGAGCCGAUAAGCCACCGUCCCAAUCCGCUCCAAGAUCUCGUAGGGGCCAAUGUAUCGGGGACUUAAUUUUCCCCGAACUCCAAAUCGUUUUACACCCCUCAUAGGCGAGACCUUUAAGAAGACGCGGUCGCCCACCGCAAACUCUAGAUCCCGUCGGCGCCUGUCCGCAUAGCUCUGUUGUCGAGAUUGCGCCGUGAGUAACCGCUUGCGAGCAAGGCGGACCUUUUCUUCCGCUUCCCGCAGCACAUCGGGGCCAAAUUCCGUGCGCUCGCCCACGUCACUCCAAUAAAUGGGAGAGCGGCACUUCCGCCCAUAAAGAGCUUCGAACGGUGCCAUCUCCACACUAGCGUGAUAACUGUUGUUGUAGGCGAACUCGACCAUUGGCAAAUACUUACACCAACCUCCUUUGUAAUCGAUGACACACACUCGCAACAUAUUCUCCAGAGUCUGAAUGGUUCUUUCAGUUUGUCCGUCUGUCUGGGGAUGAAAUGCAGUACUGAAAUUGAGCCGCGUGCCAAGGGCCUCCUGCAGGCUUUUCCAGAAAUGUGAGGUAAACUUGGGGUCUCUAUCCGACACAAUCGACUUUGGUACCCCGUGUAACCUCACUACUUCGUCGAGAUAUACCUGUGCCAACUUAUCUCCCGCCCAGGUGGUGUGGACCGGCAAAAAAUGCGCUGACUUCGUCAAGCGAUCCACAAUCACCCAGAUUGCGUCAUGGCCCCCCGUUGAGCGAGGUAAGCCAACGAUGAAGUCCAUAGAUAUGUCCUCCCAUUUUCAGACGGGAAUAGGUAGGCUUUGAAGCUUUCCCGCUGGAAACCGGCGCUCCACCUUUACUUGCUGACAAGUCAAACACUUCGUCACGAAGCGCCCAAUAUCAGCUUUCAUCCCCGGCCACCAUAGAGUGCUUUCAACUCAUGAUACAUCUUGGUGCCGCCUGGGUGAUCCGCGUAUGGAGACCGGUGGGCUUCCUGCAAGAUCAGCUAGGGAAGCUCUUCAUUCUCGGGCAUGCACCAUCGGUUUCGAAACCGAAGCGCGCCACCGGCGUCCACACUAAAAUUGCCAUCUCGUCCUUCCUCGAUAUUGCGCCGCACUCUUUGGAGACUCGGAUCUGCAAGUUGCAAUUUCUUGAUCCUCUCCAAUAAUGUUGGUUGAAUAAUGAGCGCCAUCAACUGAGCCGGGACCUCGGGAGCGACCACUUCGAGGUCCAAUCGCUCCAUCUCCAGCCCUAGGGGCGCUUGCCGGGUAACAUCAAAGGCGAGGUUCUUCGCCGACUUUCUGCUAAGUGCCUCCGCGACCACAUUUGCUUUGCCGGGGUGGUAGAGAAUGUCAACGUCAUAAUCAAGUCUAUAACGAACUCGAUCUCCUGAUCCGGCGGCAUCCCCGCUAGCUCCGCGAGAAAUACAUCCAGGAAUUCCCGCACCACCGAUAGUUCCUCCAACUUCGGAGCUACUCGGUCCACUUCCACGACGGUCGCCAAAAAUGCUACGCAGCCGCCGUUAACCAACUUCCUAGCUCUCGUCGCUGAUACUGUCGCGACGAAGCAAGAACUCCGACAAGCUCGAUAAACGAACUCCCUCUGUCCUGGCUCCCGAAAGGUGAUUGAUUUAUUCUUACAAUCGAUCGUGGCGUAAUACCUUGAGAGCCAGUCCAUGCCCAAAAUGACGUCAUACGCCUCUAGUUUAGUAAGUUCCAACAUCCGGAUGGGCAUUAUCCAGUCACCCACUUGCACCGGACAUAACGAGCACUCCGUAUAGGUAUUAAAUGACGACUCGGGACCCUCGACUCGCCACUUGCCACUUGCUUCUAUAGGUAUGUCAUGCAUGCGUGCAAAUGCUCUACUAAUAAAUGAAUGUGUGGCACCCGUGUCGAACAUAGCUCUGGAGCGAACUCCAUUGAUUAGAACUAUACCUGCCACAACAUCAGGCUCCUCGGCUUGGGCAGGCUCCUCGGCAUGGGCCUGAGCGGCGAAUACCCGUCCGCUCGGCGCUGAUCGAGUCAUCUCCGGCUGGUGCGGCGCCAAUGCGCGUCCCGCCGAUACAGGAACAUACGGGGCCCCUCCUUGAUAGGGCGAGGGCGCUGGAGCCGACGCGACUGACGGAGUAGACGAGGCCCUUGCCGGACAGUCGCGGCUGAUGUGUCCUUCUUGUCCACAAUUAAAGCACCUUCCCUGUCGUUGUCUACACUGCGGUGCCCGAUGGCCUCGAUCUCCACAGAUAGGGCAACGCUGCGGCCCACGGCCCCACGACUGCGACCGCGGAUACUUCGGGGGCCUCCUCGAACUCGAUUGUCCCCCCGAACCGCCGCCCGAUCGCUUCUUCCCCUUGUCCUGGGAUCCGGCCAACAACUCACGUUCCUCUCGCACGCGGGCAUCUCCAUGCUCUGCCCAUAGCGCCUUAUUGAAGACCUCGGCGAAAGUCGUGAGCUGGAACAAUUGCACCGCUCUAUAUAUCCACGGCCGAAGUCCUUGCAAGAACCAUUCGGCCCGCUCCGCGUCAUCCUUAACCACGUCCGGGACGCAGUCUAUAAUGUGGGAGAACUCCUGUUCGUAGUCCGCCACCGGACGAUCCCCCUGUCUCAAUUUUCAAAACCUCUCCUUUAGCUUUCGCUUCUCGGUGUCGGGGAAAUAAUUUCCAAACAUCUCCUUCUUAAACUCCUCCCAGAGCAUCGGUGGAAGGUCACAGGGUCGAUCCCGCUUCAACCGCUUCCACCACACCUUCGCCGCCUUUUCGAGGCAAUGGGUGGCGAGGGGCACCUUAUCCUUCUCCGGGGUGUAUAGGUCCUCGAAGAGAGUCUCCAUAGAGUCUAUCCAAGACUCCACCACCGACGGCUCCACAUUUCCCCCUUCAAAAGUUGGUGGCUUAAACUUCAUAAACCUUAUUAGAGUCGUUAGCGCACGCUCCCGCUCCACUUCGUCGGCCGUCGUAUCGAGUGCCGCCGAACCCGAAGCUGUCGGAGGAGCACUUGUCGGCGGGGGAACUGCCGCCAUCGGAACUGCCGCUAUGCCCUCACCCUCGGUCGCUACCGGCGUGCGUGCCGAAGGUGCGGGCGGAUCGCGAUCUCCUGCCGCCGUCGCGGCCGCCGCCGCUGCCGCUUGCCGCUCCACAACUUCCUGGAGCUGCUCGAACCGAGCCUCCUGGCGCUGCAUCGCGCCCAACAUCGCAGCGACCUGCUCUCGCAGCUCCUGCACUUCCUCCGAUCUCGGCUGCUCGGGCUCCGCAGAAGGCGGUACCGGAGCAGACCUACGCACAUAACGCCUUGGGGACAUUUGCUCCUGAAAAGCAACAACUCAAUUAGUUAUCUUAAUCCGGUAACUUCCUCAACGUUCACGAAACUAAACGUCCCGACAACGAAAUCGGGCGGAAGCUCACAAGUGCUCUAGUGUUGGACUCUUAGUGUUGCGUCGUCGGCCGCCGACACAACCACUACAAGCCAGGAACUAGUGUCACUUGGAUUCGUCUCUAUUCACAGCUAGAGACACAACACCAACUUCGACCCAAUCAAUCAACUUCCGCCAUCGCCAUGGGUCACGUUCACUCACGUCCCUAUAACCUUAGGGUUUACCAACCUAGGGUCUCCUAGGUCAUCCUAGACACUCUCUUUACUUGCUCUGGUGCUCUGAUACCACUUUAUCUGUCACGCCCUGAAAGCGAUACCAAUUUGGUUCGGCCCGGGCGCGUCGAACAGACGCCGAACGGACAGGACCUCCCCUGUCCGUCCAAGGCUAACCAACAGAUCGUGUAUAAGAAUUUACCCAGGAAUCAAUUCAUAAAUACACGAUCAAGAAGCACCACUAGUGCAACGACCAAGAGCAAGAUACAAGUAUAAAAACAUAUACAAGUACAUAAGAGAGAAGAUAUAAUCUAUUACACUCAUUGGCUCAAUACAUUUAAGUACAUCUUUUACAUUCAUCCAAAAACAUAAGUACAAGCACUCAACCUCACCCUAUACAUCAUCUACUCUCAAGUACAAAAGGGUGACGGCUAAUGCAAAAAGGGAGGUAGCUAAUGCGACUAGAAUGCCGGGCCCUUACCGCGAUCCUCACGCUCACCGAGGACGCCCGAACUGGAACCUGUAGUAAAAUGGGGGUGAGAACUAACUUCCUUAGUUCCCAGUGGGUUCGGCCGCCGACUCCGCCGAUCUCCCCACUAGGUCCAAGUCGGGCACAAGUAGAUAAUCGAUAGAUAGAUAGAUAAGGAAAGCGGUAAAUGACAGGAGUAAAGCUACUCUACUAUGCCCAAUCAUAAAUAUAUGAAUGCAUGUACAAUGAAAUAGGUAAGCAGCUAACCUGUUAUCAUGUCCAAAGGUAAAGCUAUUCACUCGUUCGUUUACCUCCUUUACUUGUUCAUUAAUCUCAUGGCUUACCCGAAGGCUCGCCUACAGCUUACUAGCCAUCUCGAAGGUAGAGAGGGUCAACUCGCACUACGAACCGAGACCGUCUGGCGGGGCCAAAUAGGCAAUCCCUUGGGACCCAAAAUAGGCAAUCCCACGUGACCAACUCCGGAGCGCACUACUUGUGUGGGGCUUCCAUCACAAGAUUUAAAACAGACCGUGAGCAUGAUCCAAUCCUCGUCUCGAGAAUACCCUAUCCUCUAGGGUUACAAUCAUCAUAUAGUCCAUAGGUUCCAUAUACACUACGACUCACAUAUGUCACUCGUUCUUUCGCUUAUUCACUAUCAACUAGAUGCCACUCGUUCUUUACAAGUUUCCAAUGCAAUAGCCAAUACAUUACUAAACUCCCAUUCACACGUAUCAUCUCAUUAUAGGGUUCCACAUCACAUAUAUAAACCUCAAGCAUGCUAGAUAUAAGGGCCAAGCCCAAAUACAUUAUUCUACUAAAGAACAUGCAAGGUAUAGGACCAAAUCACCAUUUAUCCCCCUAUAAUGCAGAUGUCAAUAUAUCAAUAUGCAAUUUGAUCAAUAUAGAGCUUAGACAUAAAAGGGAGCCCGAUUGCUUUGGGAUGGACACCACCCACCUCUUGGUGAUGCCGCGAUGGUAGAAACUCGGUGUUGGGGUUCUUGCGCGUCGCCUUAACUCCUCGGGGCGAAGCAAGCCCUCUAGUAUCCGAUUCGGCGAUUUCUCCGCACCCGCUCGUCGGAUCGAGAAACCGACUUCGUCGACGUGUUCCGGGACCUAGCAAUUAGGUUUGCGACCUAAUAGAUUAGAUCAAAACCCUAGAUUUCCAAAAUCCCCAAAUCCGUGCCCUAGAAUGGCAACGGGGGAGAAAUCCGGGGUGCGAGCUUCGAUUGCGAGCUCGAACCUUCUCCCUAGUUCCAUUAGGUCCUAUUCGAACCAUCUCCAAACCAUAAAACCCCCAAACCCUAGAAAACACCAUUAAAGGGGUUAGAGCUUACCUCUCUUCAAGACUCCAAGCUUGAGGAAGAGAGAAGAAGACAAUCUUCUUCUUCUUCUUAGUCUUCUCCUUCCUCUUCUUCUUCUUUUCCUUCCUUUCUUUAUUCUCCUUCUUCUUCUCCUUCUUUUCUUUCUAGAGAGAUAGAGGAAAGAGUGUGAGAGGGAGAGAGAGCAAAUAAGAGGGAGAGAGAGGUCCCCCACCUCUAUUAAAGGCCAUUUUACAGAUAGCCCCCUCAACUUUUCAUUUCCUGAAACAGCCCUCCCUGGGCCAUUUUCGCAGUGAGGGACCGGUCCCAGCUCGGGAAGACCGGUCCCCGAAGGCUGCCAUCUCGGGCAGAGGGGUUUUCGCGUUCGGGAACCGGUCCUUGCCUGAGAGACCGGUCCUAGUCCGAGAGACCGGUUCCCGAAAGCUGAGUUUUCGGGACUUAGCCAAAUUUCGGCUAUUUUCGCUGGGCCAACGUUCGGGAACCGGUCCCUGCCUGCCAGGGACCGGUUUCAUUAGAGACCUCCGCAGCCCAGCCUGAUGGGACCGGUCCCUCCCUGCCAGGGACCGGUCCCCGAGAGCAUUUCUGCUCCAGUGCAAGUUUUGCACUGGUGCUCUCGCGGACCUUUCCUUAAUGCACUUUAUGCACUAUAAUCACCUUCGGACUUUCCGAAGCUUACGCACUCGACAACUAGUCGAUUCUAAUCGAAGUCUAAUCCUCGAAUUUCGAGAAUUCACUUCCUUACAUAAAUGGUGAAAAAUUAGAAAAAAUGGUGCAAAAUUGGGCGAAAAGUAGGGCCAAUUUUGGUAGAAUUGCACAAUUUUACACCAUUUUAUCCAAUUUUGCACCAUUUCGUUCAAAAUUAUAUAAUAUCUUCUUCUCCUCCUCUUCCUCUUCCUUUUUUCUUUUUACACCAUUACACCAUUUUUACACCUAAAAAAUUUGCAUUCUUUGGACGCUCUUAUCUCCCUCGCUGGAGAGUAGGACUCGAACGACUAUCUUGAGGUCAUGGAUCCACUUCUUCACCAUGGAGUCGAGGGCGCCCCACUCGAUCCUCUAGACCUCCUCGAUGCUCAUCUUGUCAACAUCGAGAGCGGCGAGGGUCUCUACGAUGGUGUCGCGGCGGACGGUGAUGUACAUCUGGCUCGGCUCCUGGCCGUACCCGGCGCGAAUCAUGCGGUCGGCGAUCUCCGCGAGGUUGGCGACGACAUCGGCGCGGAGGAGGUCGGUGGAGAGGGAUCCUCGGCCUCUUCCUUAAACGCCGCCGCCACGGGAGUCCUCGAGAUUGGCAUCGUGGGGGUGGGGUCGGAUCUGGAGGAGGAGGUGGGGGCGUCAUCGUGGGAGAGGGAGAGGUAGUGGAAACAGGAGGUGGGUUCGUCGAAGGAGAAAGAGGCGAUGGGGAGGGCGCUGCGGAGGAGGAGGCGGCGGAAGAAAAAAAAUAACGAAGGAAAAAAAAAAGAGAGAGAGAAAGAAAAGGAAUAAGGGUAUUUUCGUCCGAUGGCGAAAAAUCCGGCCCGAAUCUGCAAAAUUGAAAAAAGUGACCCAGUUUUGCAAAAGCUCAAAACUUGUGGAUUUUUUAUGCAAAUUGGCCAAUAUUUAUUGGUUCUGCGUUUUUUGCAAAAAUUAAAUUUAUCUUUUAAAUUUAUAAAUUAGGUCUGAAUUUUCAGUAUAUUGUGUAAUUUUAUUUUAAACCGUAUAUUUUUUCUUUCUUUUCUAUUUUUUAGCCUUCUAUGUAGUAAUUGUGACGUUUCGAUGUGAAGAAUUUUUUUUUCUCUUUCUUCUUUCUUCUUCCUUUUCUUUCAUGCUUCGCAUCCAUUUUUACUACCAUAUCUCAUCAUUUGCACCCUACCGCAGUAGCUGCCCUGCUCCGACGCGCUCUCCUUUCUCACCCUCCUCAAAUCGUACGGCGCCCUCAUCGUAGUCAUCGUUCACAGCCACGUCCUCCACCGCAGCCUUCUUUCCUUGAUAUGUACCACAUCCGAGCUCACAUUGCCACCGCAAGCAUCGACGGAGGUGUAAACUGUUAGAUGUAUGCCCUAGAAGCCAACCAGGCCGACACAUGUAUUCUUUUUAGGACAUAAAUUUGUAUUUGACUUUAAAAUAUUAUGAAUAAAUUUGGGUUAUUAUUUCCAUUCAUGUUGUGUAUGUGUCCAUGAAUCGUCCAAGGAAUUAAUAAGAUGAUGACAUAUAUUCUCAAGAGUUGAGAAUUUGAGACAUGUGUCAUUGGUGGUUAAUUCCUAAAUGCUCCCGAUCAAUGGAUCAUCACGGGGACGGUGAUUGAUCCAGUGAGAUUGGUGCAUAGGUCGCUUCCCUUUUGGAUAGACGAGUCUCGAGUCGACAGUGUGGGGACACUGAAGCGAAUAUGCAGGUGGUUGUUAGAGAACAAGGGUACCGAGCGUGACCAACGCGAGAAGUCACUUGGAUGUCUACUCACUCGUCAGUGACUUACUCAAUUGUUGCAGUAGUGUGACUGGUCCUUUGACCUGCGGUGCCUCGGCUAUUCACAAUGAGGUUACUGUAGUUUGACUGUACAUACACUUGGUCCCUAGCCAUUCGGGUCCUUGCGGUGCAUGUUGGCUGCAGUAGGUUCAUUGUAGGAAUAGGGUGCGCACUUAGAUGGAAUCUAUCUCCCUUGGUAGAUAGGGGUGUUAGUCCUAUGUGAUUUAUGAGACCGAGUUUAGAAGACCUUGGCCAGGGCAGAAUAAAUAGCGGAAAAGGGUUUCCGAUAUUAGAAACUCGAGUCGAAUAAAUUUAACAUAUGACAGACGAUGGGGUUUGACGAGUUAUUCCAUAACCUCCGUCUAGUCGGGACUCAUGAUAGAAGGAUUGUAUCACACGGUAACUGCACCAAGAGGUUCAGUAUUCCAUUCUACUGGAAUGCCACUACAUGCUGCUAGGCGUCACUGGUGGAUUGUGAGACUCAUGAGAAUUAUCUAGAUGAUCGAUAAUUCUCAUUGGGCUGAGUUGGAAUUGUUCUAAUCCAUUGAAAGGAGUUUCAGUGAUAUUGUUGAUAGUGAUCAAAAUAUAUCUCACUACCAGAUAGAAUAGAACCUAUGGGGUCACACACAUAAGAGGUUGUGAUUGAUCGGAUAGCUAGAUCGCGAUUAUUGAAUCGCCGGAGGACCUAAUUGUCAAUAUGUUGAUAAUUGGACUAAUUUGUAAUUGUUACAAAUUAGUGGUAUUAAAGUGUAAAUGUUACAAGAGAGGACUUACUAAUAGUUAGUAAAUUAUAAGAGGACUUAUGUGCAAAUGUUGCAUUAUUAAUUUGAUAAGAUCAAAUUAAUAUAAAAUUCAAGUCGAAUCAAAUUAGGAUUUGAUCGAUCUAACCAAUUAAGGAAAAGAUAAAUUUAAAUCUAGAUUUAUACUUAUCCUUAAUUGUCAUUAUAUUAUUAGGAAUAGGAUUAUAUUUCUAUAUAUAUAACAUACGGGAGUUUUUAGAAAACCCUAUCCGUCAUCUAUCCUCUCUUCUCUCUUCCAUCUUCUAGCAAGAAAGACGUCCUUUUGCAAGAGAGCUAGCACCCCGGUGAGGACAUCGAUCAAAUCAAGAACCUCGUGUGGAUACCUAUAGAGGCCGGACACGUGUGCGGCUUCAAGAGAACCGAAUUCCACGAUCAUCAAAUUGAGGGGAAGAUCUAUCCGCGAAAAAGGUAAAGAUUCAAUCUUGUUUUUCUUCUUUAAUCUUAAAACAUGAGGGAUCCUAAUUGCGUGGUUUUUGAGAUUUAAUCUCGAGAGUUUUCAAAAAUCAAAUUUGUUUGAUUUCUUUUUCCGCUGCGUUUUUACCGUACGCAAUUUUCUAACAUAAACGAAGUAGGAGAGAGAAGUGCGGCGUCCAUAUGAGGGCAUUGGAGGAAGAGGGAGAGAAAACAAAAGGAGAAAGAGAGGAAGUGUCGGCGAGGAGGAAGAGACGAAGAGGAGGAAGAAAAAUCCAAACUUAAU
rnacentral:lncRNA from 1 species